GGCAGCAUUCUGGAAGUUGGGGCUGAGGUCUGUUGGUAAGUGGCUUCUGCAGCGUGUGGCCGUGUGAUCCCACACAGGUGACCUCAUAGAGCAGCUGAGGUUGAGAACCCGUUGAGGGGCUAGGCCUCCACGUAUGCACUGACCCCAUGGCAGAGGCACCUGUGAACCAAGGCGAGAGCUAUGUGAGCCUGGAGGAUGUGUGCCUACGUUUCACUGCGGAGGAGUGGGGUCUCCUUGAUGAUGCUCAGAAGCUCCUGUACCACAACGUGAUGCUAGAGAAUUUCUCGCUUGUGCUGUCCCUGGGACUUCCAAUUUCCAAAUCCUUCCCAGGAACUCAAGUUUAUCCAUCAUGGCCUUAUUUGCUCCAGAAAGAUAAACAUACAACCACGGAGCCAUCCAUCAAUAUUUAGAGAAAGAAUUGAGAAGAAUUCAUAGAGGAAAUUAAAUUUUGCUGAGGAAGUGAAAGAUAUGUCUUCAUUUUUCUAAGGUGCCAGGGUUCUUCACAAGCUCUCCAAUAAAACUCUUAUUUCCCAUUUAAAGGAGAAACCAUACAACUCUGUUUAGAAAUCUCUUCCCUAAAUAGUCUCCUAACUCUUUAGUGAGAGAUAAAGGUAGCAAUAAGAACCAUUUAUAGUGUUCUCUGACAGUCUGGCUUUACAGCAAACAAUUAGAUACAUUAUUUUACCCACGAUUCCCCGGCAGCCUCCUCAGUUAUUAGCUCUGUUUUAUAAGUCAAGAAAAUGAGAUGCGGAAAGGUUCUGUACCUUGUAGUCAUAUCACCAAAAUGCUGAGAAGCUACAGUUUGAAUAUGAUUCUCAAGCCUUAACUCUGAAAUACUUUUCUAAUCAGGUGCAAUCUGUAUGCAGUCUGAUCCAUUGUUGGCAUGCACAGGUCUGUGAGUUGUGGGUAGUGCUUAUUACUGUAGGGGAAUCACCACCAUGUUCCAGACGUGGGAAGGUUCCCAGGCUCAAAAAAUGUUAUUUUGUGGUCCUUUGUGCUCAGCCCCUGACAACUACUGCUCAGCUAUUUUGGCCCAACUAUGACAUAAAGAUCAUAAAG